UUUCCCACCUGAAAUAAGGGGGGCGGAAAUUCAGCCAAUCGGAGUGCACGCAAAAUAUGCCAUAAAAGGUCAGUGUAACCCAAACCUGUCCACUGCGAUAACUGUACGAUUACUAAAAUCAGAUCAACACAGCGGCGUUAAGUAUAAGUCUGGCGAUAUUAUAAGUUUUUUGAGUAUACUUUUUAUGCGAGAUUCAUUCAGCCUCUUCAACUGUUUCACAUUGUGUAUCACGUGAUAUUCAUCCGUGUUGUUCAUUGACGUAGAUAGGAUCUACGUUCAUGGUGUUGUUUGCUGCUUAAUGUUUACAGAAAGGGUUCUGAUCGGAUUGUUUUAAUAACGAAGGUCCAUUCAAGAAGAUGCCAGAUGGAAAUUAUGGAAUCUGCGUUGAACUUGUCAUGAGACAAAAGCAGUGUUGUAAAUUAUCUUGCAUGUAAAAAAAAAAAAA
rnacentral:lncRNA from 1 species